CCAGACUCCUACGGGAGGCAGCAGUGGGGAAUAUUGGGCAAUGGGCGCAAGCCUGACCCAGCAACGCCGCGUGAAGGAAGAAGGCUUUCGGGUUGUAAACUUCUUUUAAGAGGGAAGAGAAGAAGACGAUACCUCUUGAAUAAGCCACGGCUAACUACGUGCCAGCAGCCGCGGUAAUACGUAGGUGGCAAGCAUUGUCCGGAUUCACUGGGUGUAAAGGGAGCGUAGACGGCGACGCAAGUCUGGAGUGAAAGCCCGGGGCCCAACCCCGGGACUGCUCUGGAAACUGCGGCGCUGGAGUACGGGAGGGGCAGGCGGAAUUCCUGGUGUAGCGGUGAAAUGCGUAGAUAUCAGGAGGAACACCAGUGGCGAAGGCGGCCCGCUGGACGAUGACUGACGUUGAGGCUCGAAAGCGUGGGGAGCAAACAGGAUUAGAUACCCUCGUAAUC
rnacentral:rRNA from 1 species